AUGGAGAAGGCCGAAAAUCCAUAAUCGAGUAGGCA
rfam:Sphingobacterium sp. ML3W, complete genome.